GUACCCUAUGUUAAGCACAAGCAUUAGAAUUUCUCACUGUAAGGAACAGUAAAAUUGAAGAAAGACAAGUAUUAAUUGCAUUAAGUUGUUAUCUGUAAUAGUUACAGUGAUGAAAACUGCAAGGUAACUUGUUUCAGAUCGAGGAUUUGCAGCAGGAAAAGUCCAGUUGUCCAUGGAGUGAAGGUCGUCCAGUGUCUGUCCAAGACAUGCCGCAAGGUGACCCAGUGUCUCUGAAAUGCCCAUAGUAGAAGGCGAAGUGUCAUCAUGGAAGAAACUAGACUACAGCAUCUUUGAGUGGAUAAAAUUCCAGAUGACAGGACACAAAGCCCUGUCAUUACUGGAGACAACUGUCAUAGUUAUCCUUUUUGCUACAUCUAUGGGAAGGGUGAUGGAGAUUCAAAGCUACAAUUACAUCUGGAUUCAGAGCAAAUAGACAGCGACACUCAGGCUUUCAGCUUCGUGUUUGUUUUGGAUGAAAUACUUUAUU